rnacentral:tRNA from 1 species
GGGCGGGUGGCGGAAUUGGUAGACGCACCGCACUCAAAAUGCGGCACCGAAAGGUAUAGGAGUUCGAUUCUCCUCCUGCCCAC